rnacentral:rRNA from 1 species
GAGGCUAAUGGUUAAUACCCAUUAGAUUAGACGUUACCUGCAGAAUAAGCACCGGCUAACUCUGUGCCAGCAGCCGCGGUAAUACAGAGGGUGCGAGCGUUAAUCGGAAUUACUGGGCGUAAAGCGAGUGUAGGUGGCUCAUUAAGUCACAUGUGAAAUCCCCGGGCUUAACCUGGGAACUGCAUGUGAUACUGGUGGUGCUAGAAUAUGUGAGAGGGAAGUAGAAUUCCAGGUGUAGCGGUGAAAUGCGUAGAGAUCUGGAGGAAUACCGAUGGCGAAGGCGCUCUGCUGGACCAUAACUGACACUCAGGGACGAAAGCUAGGGGAGCGAAUGGGAUUAGAUACCCCAGUAGUCCUAGCCGUAAACGAUGG